AUGUUGAAAGGGGUUAGGGUUAUAAAAUAUUGGAACUAUCCAGCUUCAUCUUGCAAACACCGUUAUUCUCCGAUCGAUUCUUCUUCAGAACUCCGAUCAUCACAUACUGCCGUCGUCGCAUUAUCAUCUUCUUCAUCAAGAUUCCGCCAUCAAAUUCUUUCUCUUGAUUCAUUCGACUUUAGUCUCGAUGCCUCCCUUAUUUUGCUUCAACUUCCACUUCAAGAGCUCAAACUUCGUGAUUCUUCGUGA